AAAUAAUAGUAAAAAAAAAAAAAAGAUGCAAUGCUUCUGUGUCAGGUCAACAUGGCAGGCUGGCCAGCUGUUGCAUCAAGCAGGUGGCUGGAGGGUAUUUGAAAAUGGUAUUACAACGCUGCCAGGUUCAAUAAACUGGGUUAAUGCAAGAUGACACAAUAUAUGAGAAUGACGAUGUAAAAGAAGCCAUAAGAAGGCUUCCUGAGAACCUUUGUAACGACAGAAUGUUUCAUAUUAAGAGAGCACUGGACCUCAGCAUGAGGCAGCAGAUCCUGCCUAAAGAGCAGUGGACAAAACAUGAGGAGGAUAAAUUCUACCUUGAACCGUAUCUGAAAGAGGUUAUUUGGGAAAGAAAAGAGAGAGAAGAAUGGGCAAAGAAAUAAUAUAGUAGUCUAAAUCUGUGGGUACAGCUGUUCUCAAGUAUUUUUAUGAAGCUGGUUAAACCUGAAAUGUACAAUGUAGAACUAUUUGGGCUGUAAAUGUAUUACUUUAAAUAAAUAUCAUAAUUA